rnacentral:piRNA from 1 species
UAACUGUGGCAUUUCUGAAUAGA